CCUACGGGUGGCAGCAGUGAGGAAUAUUGGUCAAUGGCCGCAAGGCUGAACCAGCCAUGCCGCGUGUAGGUCAGUGCCCUUUGGGCGGUAAACUACUUUUGUGCGGGAGGAAGAAUGUUCACGUGUUGCCAUUCGCCAGUGCCGUACGAAGAAGCAGCGGCUCACUCCGUGCCAGCAGCCGCGGCAAUACGGGGGGUGCAAGCGUUAACCGGAUUUAUUGGGGUUAAAGGGUGCGUAGGCUGUGAGGUUAGUCUGCGGGGAAAUGCCCCCGCUCAACGGGGUGAAGUGCCACUGAUACUGUCUAGCUGGAGUGCGGAUGAGGUGGGAAGAAUGUGUGGUGUAGCGGUGAAAUGCAUAGAUAUCACACAGAACACCGAUUGCGAAGGCAUCUCACGGGUCCGCGAUUGACGCUGAUGCACGAAAGCGUGGGUAUCAAACAGGAUUAGAUACCCUGGUAGUC
rnacentral:rRNA from 1 species